rnacentral:tRNA from 2 species
AGAAAGCUAGUCUAACCAAGACAGUUGAUUUCGGCUCAACAAAUCAUAGCAAAACCCUAUGGCCUUCUC